AUGGCUGCACACAAAGAGUUGUGGUCAAUGGCUCAAUGUCCAGCUGGAGACCAGUAACGAGUGGUGUCUCUCAGGGAUUGGUGUUGGGACCGGUCUUGUUCCACGUCUUUGUCGCUGACAUGGACAGUGGGACUGAGUGCGCCCUCAGCAAGUUUGCUGAUGACACCAAGCUGUGUGGUUCGGUUGAUACCCUGGAGGGAAGGAAUGCCAUCCAGAGGGACCUUGACACGCUUGUGAGGUGGGCUGAUGCCAACCUCAUGAAGUUUAACCAUGACAAGUGCAAGGUCCUACACCUGGGUCAGAGCAAUCCCAGGCACAGCUACAGGUUGGGCAGAGAAGAGAUUCAGAGCAGCCCAAGGAGAAGGACUUGGGGGUGUUGGUUGAUGAGAAAAUGAACAUGAGCCGGCUUCAGUGAGCGCUUGCAGCCCAGAAAGCCAACCGUAUCCUGGGCUGCAUCAAAAGGAGUGUGACCAGCAGGUCGAAGGAGGUGAUCCUGCCCUUUACUCUGCUCUUGUGAGACCUCACUUGCAGUAUUGUGUGCAGUUCUGGUGUCCUCAACAUGAAAAGGACAUGGAACUGUUGGAACAAGUCCAGAGGAGGCCACGAGGAUGAUCAGGGGACUGGAGCACCUCCCGUAUGAAGACAGGCUGAGAAAGUUGGGGCUUUUCAGCCUGGAGAAGAGAAGGCUGCGUGGAGACGUCAUAGCAGCCUUCCAGGAUCUGAAGGGGGGCCUCUAGGGAUGCUGGGAAUGGACUCUUCAUUAGGGACUGUAGUGAUAGGACAAGGGGUAACGGGUUAAAACUUAAACAGGGGAAGUUUAGAUUGGAUAUAAGGAAGAAGUUCUUUACUGUAAGGGUGGUGAGGCACUGGAAUGGGUUGCCCAGGGAAUUCUGAAUGCUCCAUCCCUGGCAGUAUUCAAGGCCAGGCUGGACAGGACCUUGAGCAACUUCGGUUAGUGGAAGGUGUCCCUGCCCAUGGCAGGGGGGUUGGAACUAGAUGAUCUUAAGGUUC